CGCUUCAUGUAAGAGACAUCAGCAUUCCUUACUCUCCAGAUGCAGCAGACAAGGUUCGCAGCAAGCUCCUUCUUCCUUCCAGAUUCAAAGACUCCAUUAAAGAUAACCACCAUCUCCAUGGCUCCAUUCCUACAAGAUCCCAUGCGCCAACCACGCUUUGACAUCCCCACAGGCAAUGGUGUACCGAUUCUUCCAUAGUAUCACAAAUCAGACAGGUUCCAAAACUGGAACACUACUUCAUAUCCUGAAGCCACCGAAUAUUCUCCAGAUUUCUCCUUUUAGCAGAAGAAGAAUCCAACUCCGGCAGCUACAGCAGGGAGAGAUGCAUAAAUCUUUCGCAUGGCCAUUGGUGUAACAAUAGAUUGAUAGAAAAGAAUAAGAGCCUUGUGAUGAUGAGUAUAUAUAUAUGUAUAUACGAGUCCAGAGAGAAUAUUAAGAAGAUCAGAUACUUUGCUAGUGAAAGGAAGCAAUCAAUGGUUUAUAUAGGGACCUAAGUCACCUAACGGGUAAAAACAAAAAAGG